rnacentral:rRNA from 1 species
GGCUUCGGCCUGGCGGCGAGUGGCGAACGGGUGAGUAAUAUAUCGGAACGUACCCAAGAGUGGGGGAUAACGUAGCGAAAGUUACGCUAAUACCGCGGGCGAUCCACGGAUGAAAGCAGGGGACCUUCGGGCCUUGUGCUCCUGGAGCGGCCGAUAUCUGAUUAGCUAGUUGGUGAGGUAAAGGCUCACCAAGGCAACGAUCAGUAGCUGGUCUGAGAGGACGACCAGCCACACUGGAACUGAGACACGGUCCAGACUCCUACGGGAGGCAGCAGUGGGGAAUUUUGGACAAUGGGGGCAACCCUGAUCCAGCAAUGCCGCGUGAGUGAAGAAGGCCUUCGGGUUGUAAAGCUCUUUUGUCAGGGAAGAAAAGGUCGUGGCUAAUAUCCACGACUGCUGACGGUACCUGAAGAAUAAGCACCGGCUAACUACGUGCCAGCAGCCGCGGUAAUACGUAGGGUGCAAGCGUUAAUCGGAAUUACUGGGCGUAAAGCGUGCGCAGGCGGUUUCGUAAGUCUGUCGUUGAAAUCCCCGGGCUUAACCUGGGAAUUGGCGAUGGAGACUGCGAGGCUAGAGUUUGGCAGAGGGGGGUAGAAUUCCACG